rnacentral:lncRNA from 1 species
CUACAUUGAGUGUAUAUACGAUAUAUACUCAAGGAAAUGGUAAAGUACCAUUUGACCCGAAAUAAUGAAACCUCAUAGCUAAUUGGUAGCUUAAGGUGACUGCAAUCAAAGAGAAUGGUUGACUUUGAAGAAACCAUCUUUGACGUAGUCUUGUUUUUCAAUUAAUUCGAAGAUAGCUAGCGACAACUAAAUGGUGAUUCAAUGUUUGGACAUUAUAUGGGUUUCCGAAACCAUUAUUAAGAUAGUCUUGAUAAUAUAUUUGUCUAAAACUAUGAAUCACAAGACAUAUAAGUUGUAGAGAUCCAACCAUCAUGAAUCUUAGCAAGCUAGUGGGAGCUAUAAGCAUCUUAUGAGAAAAGGAUCAAAUCGUUUGAUUUCUCAUAAAGAUGUAAAUGAAUCUUUUGUUUACUAGGUUUACAAAAGGUUAGUGGGAGUUAAUCAUGUUCCUAAAAUUUAAAUAUAUAUGAUAUAUUAAUUUUGGAAAUGAAAAGAAUACUUCUUCAUUAAGUUAUAACUUUAAAACAUUAUAUGAAGAUAGAAUGUAUAUGGGAGUUAAUCAUGUUCCUAAAAUUUAAAUAUAUAUGAUAUAUUAAUUUUGGAAAUGAAAAGAAAACUUCUUCUUUAAAGUUAUGACUUUGAAACAUUAUAUGAAGAUAGAAUGUAUAUGGGAGAUAUAGUCUAUAUACAU